UCUUCGGCGGGUGUCCUCGGGUUUCGCCGCUUUAAUAAUCGGCGGCCUACGAUGUAGUUAUGCCCAAAAGGAGUGCGCGGCAUGUCAGGGAGCCGGGACUGACGGGCAGGGCCGACGGGAGCGAUCCCGCGGGCCCGGGACUUGACGUGAAGCACUUUCGGAGCGUCCACAUCGGCCCAACGAACGGCAGGCGGUGGCUCUCGCUUAAGCGCCGCCUCGGGCUGCCGACGGACGAGGAGCUGGCCGUCUACCUUCUCGACUUGGCCGAGUCCAUAGCCAGUAGGCAAGAUGGUAAGUGUGGUGUCUCCGGAGAGUGGAGAACUGACCGGGAUGAGGAAAAUGAGCCAGAAGUUGUCAAGGCACAAGGGGGAUCGGCUGAUGCAGAAGGAGCACUGCGCCGUAGUCCACGGAAACAGAACGUUCCUCCAUCUCCGGAGUCCUUGGUGUCACCAACAAUCGAGUCGUCUGAAGCAAAGGAACAGGAACCUCUGGAGGAUGUUAUAAAGUUGCAUGUAAGGCGUAGCUCUAGGAACAAGCAUCACAGGAGCAAAACCAAGCAUCAUAAGGAUAAGCGCAAGAGGAGAAAACACUCGAAGAGUGUAGAAGAUCCUGCCGUCCCUACCGAAGAGACAGAGUCCACUGCAUUAUUGUCGGUCAAUCAAGGAGAAGGGUUUGCAGAAGAAAAAUCUAAUGAGACUACACAGGAUGUGGAAAAGAAAUCUAAUCUUGUACUGAGUGCAUUUCAGGGCUCCGCACAUGCUGUGGAACCGGUCGCCCUUAAAACUGAAGAACCAGAUAGCGUGCGGUGUGCAGAGGAAGCAGACAAUGAUAAGGCAGGUAGAGAAGCCUUGUCGGAAAGCUUCAAUGCUAUUGAAAGAAAGACGAGUCCUCCCAGGGAGAGUCUACGAGCUGGAUCGAAGGACUCUACCGGAGAGGAAGCAACUGCUUGCCUGGCUAGGAGCCCAAAGUGUAACGAAGCUCCGGAUGAUCUAAUCGAAGAGGAGAAAGUGAUUUUAACAGCUUCCUUUCCACUUACCGAGAACUAUACUAGACAGAACGAAAUAUCUCUCGAAGAGUCAAGAGAUGAAGACGCGCCCUUGGCAACUGUCAGUUUAAUGGCACGUCCUCAAGAAGAGCUUCAUGUUUCGAAAGAGCCCGAUGAGCGUAAAGCAAAGAAAAAGAGACGAAGACCAAAGUACGAGACAGACGGAGAAUUAGGAGGCGUCGGAGACUCCCCGGAAGGUCAUUCCGACGAUGGAGUCCACAAACAUCGAAGGAGGAAGCACAGGCAUACAGGAGAUCAUAAGGCUAGGAAGCAUCACGAUGUUAGGAAGGCUCCACAGGAUGGCAUCGUCGUGCAAGAGGAGGUCCGUGAGUCCUGUCAAACGAACGAUGGCCCACAAAAUGGAGCAAACUCUACUAUCCAGCCAUCGGAAAACCCUAGACCAGAGGCCACAUUGGACGGAGCUCUUUUGGAGCCCCAAAGAGUGGCCAUUAAGAUAAAGCUCUGUCAAGAUUGCAACAGUCGUCAUCUACAGGAUGCUUGUCCUCUAAUGAUACCCCUGUACGCCGUUCCAGACUCGUUGAGUUAUGAAGACUGGCUGUCAAGGCACCAGGAGAACCCAGAAGUGACGAAGGUCAUUGGAAGUGACGAUCCCAUGUCGGAGGGCUAUGGCAGGCCUCCCGAGGAUGGUUUCGAGUCCGAUGAAGACUCUCUGGCUGUCGAGCAGUAUAAGCCGAAGGUUAAAGUGGAAAGUGAAGAAAAACAGCUGAUCGUUGACGCCGACAGACCCCUCUAUGCAAGGGAAUCCCUGCCAGAGUGCUUCGAACUAAGAACCACAAAUGCAGAUCAUGGACUGGGGAUCUAUGCAAAGAAUCCUGUGCCGAUGUAUGCAAAACUUGGACCACUGGUUGGCAGACCUGUCCGGGAAAUGGACAUCCCGGAUGACUUUUCCAUGCGGCACAUCUGGGAGGUAGACAACAAUGGAAAGACUUCCUAUGUAAGCACUACGGAUCCACUGAAGAGCAACUGGAUUCGUUACAUGAGGCCGGCUGACUCGAAGGAGGAGCGUAGUGUGGCGGUUGUCACUCGACACGGAGAGCUGCAUCUCGUCACAACGCAGAAUAUCUCCUCUGGAAUGGAGCUGACGUACUGGGCAGAUUCACAGUCUUCCGCUUGGACCAGGAAAAACAAGAUAGACAAAACCAACUGCGGAGGCUGCAACCUGAACUUCUCUCACCCAAUUUAUUAUCGUCUCCACUGCUGCAUCUUCCACGACACUAACUACAGUUUAACUAUCAGGAAAUAUCACUGCAAGGUCUGUGGGGCCGCUGUUUUAGGCAAGGAUAACAUCAUGAAACAUGCUGCGGAGCUCCAUGCAGGCCGGGGGGCCUAUCAGUGCCAGUAUUGUAAAAAGUUUUUCCUAAGACUGAACUACCUUGAGAUGCACCGGACUUAUGGCUGCUCCCAGAAUCCUCAGAGGUCCAGGCCUCUCUGCGACUUCUGCGGAAGGAAAUUCUGCCAGCCGCAGAAGCUCAAAGUGCACAUCAAGAGAAUGCACAGCGGUUCAAAUGGUGUUGCAGAUAUGUCGGAGGUACUGCGCGAGUUUCAGUGUAAACUUUGUUUGAAACUCCUUGGUUCUCGUGCAGCUCUGCAGCGUCACAUGAAGGAGGUCCAUCAUAAAGACGUCGUCGGGGCUGCGACCUGCGACCGGUGUGGGAAAAUGUUUCAGAAUAAGAGCAAUCUGAAGAUACACAUGCUUACGCAUAGCGGAGUAAAGCCUUUCAAGUGCAAAGAAAACGGCUGCAAAGCCGCGUUCACCACUAAACAGUGCCUGCAAUUCCAUUACAAGAAAGUACAUGGAUUGACCGAGGAGAUGAUGCCCAAAAUUGAGAGAUCGGUAGCAUACACCUUCGAUGCAUACAGUGGAGGCCUGGUCGAGGAUGUCGGGAGGGGGAAGACGCCUAGACUGAGUCGAAGGAACUCCCAGCAGGAGAACAGUAACAGUUUGUUGUCACUGGAUGACUGCAGCUCGGAGCACAGUCCGAAAGAGGAUUCUACAAGUAGAAUCCGCAGUGCAUCACUGGACCUACAAGUUGGAAUCCCUGGGAAGUUAAAGCAGCCUCGAGACAGUCCACCUCCUCCUCCACUUCUACCUCCCCAGCAACCUCCACAACAGCAACAACAGCAACAACCAGUGGUGUCAAUAUCAAGUAGCCUAGAAAGUGCAAUGGAGCCAGUACGCAGCGAAGCAGACCUCUACGCAGCCUCCAGGCUUCAAAGCAAAGGAAGUAAAAAAUGGAUGGGCGAAUUCAAUCCACCGCCAGGUUCUGUUGAGCUCUCCGGAGGACAGAUCGGAGGCCCAGCUAGUGCAGGAGACGUCUACGAGUUCGAGGAAAGCCGGAAAGAGGAACAAGAUGAGGAGAAGGAGGUUUCCGUAGGUGGCAGGGGCCUCAUUGAUGAGAGUAAACUUGGGAUGAGUGUGUAUCGGAGGACUGAGAGUUCGAAUGCGAGCCUUCUAGUGGAAGCUGCCUUGGAUGCAGCAGAGAGGGACAUCGGGGCUGUCUCCAGUCCCAUGUUAGAGGAUGGUGACAGAGAACCUAACCUGUACUCCAGCAUAUCCAGCCAGUUGCAAUCUCCGAUGCAGCAGAGGUCUCCUGAGUCACACCUGGAAUCCUACAUGCACCAGGACGAAUUGAUCUCGCCAGCGCCUGCUGGCACUCCAGAGGGCAGACACACUCCUCCGAGCCACCUUCACGUGGAUUAUCACCUUCACAGGCCUGUUGACUAUAUGAGUGUGUCCAGGAGUCAUGGUAUCGAACAAUACCUCCACCACGAAGACCUUCCCAGGGUUUCCUCUCCAGGUUAUAUCCACGUUCAGCAGGAUGAUCUUGUGUCUCCCUCAGUUACUCCGAAUCCUAGGUACCAAGAAGUUCACCACCAUCAUCAAGUGUCCGCAGAGAAUCUGUCAAGCGACGAGGGUGACUCGGUUGCUCAGAACCUGAGCCUCUCCGUCAAGGAAAAGUCUCUUCAGCUGGACCUGUCGACCUCGUACAAAUAUGACCCCCUGGAGUCAGAGUUUGCGAGGGAGAGAGGUGGUUUUGAACCUUUGGUUCUUAAUGGAGGAGAACUGCAGGGCCUGGAUAUGUCUGCUAGGGGGUUCCACCAUGGGUUCGGAGCACAGGUACAAAAUACUAGGUACCAUCAUCACCAUCUCUAUGACAUCGGAGACAGGCAGAGUGUCGAUCUCAGCAGGACUGGAGGGUACUCGAUGUCUCCACCACCACCGCCACCUCCUCCGCCACCACCUCCAUACCCUCAUAGUGAUGUGCUACGUGUUGUGAGUUUGGAUCUUACUCCAGGUGGCAGACAUAGCGUCGACUUGAGCUUGUCCAGGUCUCACCAUCAUCUCCAUGGGGCUUCCGGAGGGAGGAUUGUUGCCAGUCCACAGCCUCCUGGCUCUGUGACUCCUCGUGGCGUGUCAGAGACUGUCGAAGGGAGGAUGCUUUCUCCGCCACCUCCGCUGCCAGCAUAUAACCCCACUUAUCCAGUUAGCCCUGCUCCGUACCAUCCUCCAAGGCCUGGUUACCAUCAUUACUCCGGGUAUUAUUGAAGAGAAAAAUCAAGAUCAUGGGAAUUGGUGGAAUUUCCAGUUAUGUCUGGAAAAGGGAAGUGAAAUUGGAGUGCUUCAUAACCUCGAAAGUCACCAUUGGGUGUGUCGAGAGAAAUAACAUCUUGGAAAGUGAUGUGAAGUACCAAGAGUGAGGUUAACGGUGGCUGUCAACUGGAUUCGAUGUUAAUCACAUUCCACAAUUUGUAGCGCUGUUGGCAUACAAUUCAAGAGUUGCAGAGUUGUCGCACACGAGUCAUGUUAAGCAAAGCUGCCCACGUACAAUAUUGUGUACGUUCUUCCAUUCGAUCUAGAAUCCUUCUGAACAGAAGGUUACGAAAGUGAAAACGGGUGUCUGCAGGUUGGAGAAUGCUUUCUCAGCAAGUAUUGGAGAAGUCAUUGCACACUUAGUAGAAGAGUAGUUUAAGAGAGGAGGCGGCAUUAGUCUUUACAUCAAACAGAGAUGAACUCUUUGGAACUCCGACGCAUCGAAGUGAUGUUAUAGAGAAGUUCGGUCACUCUGAGGAAAGAGGAAAUACUGGGUACGUUAGAAAUUACUCCAUAGAUCUCUUCCACAUCGCUGCAGACGUACAAUCUGAUAUGAGACCGAAGUCUUGAUGAGCAUCACAUUUGGAAACCCUUGAAUCUCUGAUGUAAAUUCAUCUAAUGCAUCUGAACAAAUUUGUUUACUUCCAACCGAUACUUAAGACAAAAAGGAAAUCAAAUCUCCAUCAUAGACUCAAGGAAAUAUACUUUUGUUUCUAGUACAGCAGGAAUAACUCACUAAAGAAAUAGAGAGCAUGUAAAUUAUCGAAUCACGUGGAAAUGGCAGAGUCCUCUGAGAUCUAUUAAUAUUCAAUCUAGAAGUUCGAGAAAUUAAUCAAACGGCGAUGCGGGAGAAGCAAACAAAAGAGCAAAUGUCAUUCUACUGAUUUCUUCUGCUUUAAUGAAAUUUUCAAAUUUGGGGACGAUGAGUAUUUUAUACAACAUGAUGUCGUGUGAGAUAUGCGAAGAAUUAAAUUUCCGAUUCCAAAAACAAGCACUGAAAGUAUCUCUGUGGUGAGGUUACAUCCUCGGUCUUGUGGAGCAUGAGUCUUUUUUACAGAGGUAUCGGAGCACUACGUGCAAACUUCUGCACAGGGUUUUAGAACCGCUGUGGAAAUUUCUGCAUGCCCUUGUUCUAUCAGGAGUUUGGAUAUUUAGAUGAAGGAUGUGAAAUUAAACGUAAGCAUCAUGACUGAGUGCCAUGUCCGUGAUAUAGUUCGACGAGGAAUAGAGAAAAAGAACGAGUGAGAGGAAAGAGAAAAUUGUUGAUUAGCUUCUAGCCUAUAUUCUUCUAUUUCGAAUACGUCGUACCCGUUAAGUACCACCAGUUUAAUGUACUCCAGUAAACGUGAUUCGAAACUCGUACUCCCAGUAAUGCAGACAGCGAUAUCCUGGAUAGCGAGUCCUCGCCGAAGCAUUCAACAAGCCCCUCACCGAUAGUGAUUACCUUUUAUAUGUUCAAGAGAAGCUUUCCUCUAUGUCAAGGAACCAACGACAGUGCUGUUAAAAUAAUUUGUAUCAAGAAACAUCCACAAUGUUCUUCACAGGCAAGAAAUCCUCGGUUUCCCUUACAGAAUAUUCUGUAACCCAUGCUACGAAACUGUAGAGUUAUUGCAUUGAGUGACAGUGUUAGUGGAACUAGUGAAGUUUUCCCAAGAGUUAUACCUUGUUAUGCGACAGUAACGAUUAACGAAUCUAAAGAACUGCUAUCCAGGAUCUCAAGUAAUAUAAUUAAUUGUAAGAUAAUCCAGUCGGGAUGCCUAAUGGUAGCUAUAAGUGAACACUGCACAGUGACGGAGGGUCACGCACUGUUCGUCUCUAUUCUAGUCACUGCGAGGAGGAGACAUCCUUUUGCCAUCCUUAUUCAGGAGUUUCAUUGUUAGUUUUAUUCGCAGCAGUUAUAGUAUCGAUGCAUCCCAAUUGAGGAGACUCGAUUUUAAAUUUUUACCCGUAUUUAACGAGGCACUGCAUGAAGUUUGCAAGUGAGACUCGAACCGAGUGUACAUAGGGAAUUAUGAGCUAGGAGAUAGUGUUUUAGAGCCAUAUGGUAAAACAUUUCAGGAGCAAAGGCCAUUUCAACCCAUUGUUAGAGAAUCAGACAGCGAUGUCAUAGUUCUGGAAAGAUAGCGAAUCGAUGAAUCGCUUGCAAAGUUCAUUACUGACUGCCUCUCGGAGCCUGGUACUCUAGAAAUCCAAAAAAAUUCAAAAUACCGUCUGGGACUGUAAUAAGUAGUUUAAUCUAUUUCGAGGUUAUCUCGAAGUUCCCAACCUUCCGAAGACGCUCCGACACGAAAUUUGUACCUUUUGAUAUUACAAACCCGUGAAGAACGUAACUCGGAAUACUCUUAGGACUUGUGAGAAGCGUCUUCGUUGGAAAACUAAUUACGAAACAUUUUCUGAUCUUCCGGAGACAUGACAAUUUGACAGUGUAGUCCACUUGCGGAGAGCCAGGCUCCGAGGCCUAACCUCCAAAUCCUCACUGCGAGUGCAUCGCCCAGCCACCUACCGAAACCAAAAAUUCACGAGGGAGCAUCGUAACAUUUGUGCCAAAUCGCCAGGGUGCUCAUCGCGGACACCAGAGGCGACCAUUAAUUGCUCCAAGAAUUAAUUCCACUCCGAGAGAUACCUAGAGCUCAUCGGAGGCUCGACACCCUGGAUCCCAAACAUUCAGAUUACAAUUAAUCCAUACCGUGUAUCGGCUUGAGCGACUUUUUGCAAUUAAGAAAGUGUAAAAUUGCUUGUGCAAUUCAACUAAGGACCUGUCUGUGGUCAUCCGUGGGCCUCGGAGUCUUCGAUGGGCCUCUAAGAAUCGGAGAGAGCCAGGCCGAUCUGUCCAGGGAUCGGUGGCAAAAAUUACUCCCACUACUUAACCGCUUAGAAAUUUACUGACAUCUCUUUUUAUAAUACUCCAGUGAGCAAAGUGUAAGGGUUAAAGUGAGUCUUCGCGUAUUAGAAUUGAAAUUAGAGGAACUAGUGGCCACCAGUCUCUGGACUGUUUGCUCCGAUGGAGCUGCGGUCUUCGAAUCUAGGAUUUUGACUUUGGUCAUCCGUAUAAGUGUGAUAUUACCGUUUUAAUUUAUUUAAGCUUAAACAACGUUGAAUGUACACCUCGUUUAGCCGAUUAUUACAACUAUUUCUGUAUAUUGUGCGGAAAAAGAGGGGUGCGCGAAUGUUUAAAGGCGAGCUAAAAGAGAAGCGUCGCGCUAAUGGAAAAAUUAAAUCGCCGGGUCCCGAGAGGGACAAAGGCGAGGCGGAUUUCUCGAGGACAGAGACAAAACUCAAAGGAAUAAUAUUUACGAGUACAAAACGCGGCACAGGAUAUAUUUAUAUCAGGUUUAUUAAUUGUAAGUGAUACCGAUAUAGGGGUUCGACGAUGAAUAUUAUAAAGAGACCAAAAUCAUAUUCUCUCCCAAGAAUUCGAGUUUUUAUUUACCAAUCGGCCGGCCGGGCCAACAGCUGUUUUUCUAUAUAUAUAUAUAUAUAUAUAUAUUAUGUAAUGGCCGGUUUAUACAAUAUCUUAUAUGAACCGGUCAUAAUUGAAGUGAUUCAU
rnacentral:misc_RNA from 1 species